rnacentral:lncRNA from 1 species
AUAUGUACAUGAAACAUGAAAAAACCAAGAGAGGAAUGCCCCUCCCUAGAUUCCGACCGACCAGGACGGAGUAUUUAGUCAUGCCCUCAUUUUUACUCCAGAAAGAGGUCAUAAAGAAACCAUUUCUUUUUCUGUAUAGGCAAUUCACCAGACAAGAAACAGCCAAAAUAAAACAUUUCUUCCUUCAACAGGACACUAAUUCACAACAUCACUGUUCGUCGAUAUGGUAAAAAAAAGAAAAAAGAAAAAAGAAAAAAGAAAAAAGAAAAAAGAAAAAAGAAAAAAGAAAAAAGAA